rnacentral:lncRNA from 12 species
UCAGCCUCCCUGCUUCCUGUCAUUGGUGCUGCAGUGUCAGCUGUGCUGCUCUUAUUGUCUGUCCUCAUAAUCAUCCUCCUGCUGAAGAGAAGACAAAAGCAAAAGAACAAGGAAAUGCAUUCAAAGUGCUCUUUCACAAAAGAUGCAGCUAAUACAUAUGCAGGUGCAUCCCAUGAUAACAAAAAUGAAGAAGAUGAUGAGGCUGAUUAUGAAAAUGUAGAACUUGGUGAAAACAUGGAUCAUGAUGAUUCUGAACAGGACUAUAUUAAUAUGGACUCUGAUCAUUCUGAAGAGGACUAUAUUAAUAUGGACUCUGAUCAUUCUGAAGAGGACUAUAUUAAUGUGGACUCUGAUCAUUCUGAAGAGGACUAUGUCAAUGUGAAUGUUAUAUAAAAUAAAAGUGUGGUAGACAAAUCUGAUGACAACCUUUAUAAAAGCUGUUUUGACUAAUACUACGUUAUUUUAAAGAGACUGGUCUCGGCCUACCUGAAGAAUAUCACUGGACUGAUACAUCUUGCAACACCUCGACAGACCUGGGAAUUAUGCACUGAUCUUAUUGGUGGACUUCAGCUCGGCCUUCAAUACCAUCAUGCCUGAUCUUCUCUCAGACAAACUGACCCAGCUCUCCGUGCCCUCCCAAAUCUGUCAGUGGAUUACCAGCUUCUUGACAGACAGGCAGCAGCUAGUGAGGCUGGGAAAACUCACAUCUAGGACCUGAAAACAGUGGAGAUGAUUGUGGACUUUAGGAGAAACCCCCCUCCACUUCCCCCACUCACCUUCAUGAACAGCACUGUAACAACAGUGGAGUAAUUCAGGUUCCUGGGCACCACCAUCACUCAGGACCUGAAGUGGGACAAUCACAUCGACUCUUUUGCAAAAAAAAAUAUAAAUAAAAUCCUAGCAGAGGCUGUAUUUCCUUCACCAGCUGAAGAAGUUCAACCUGCAACCCAGUUCUACUCGAUCGUCAUUGAGUCUGUCCUGUGUUUAUCUAUAGCUGUCUGGUUUGGUUCAGCUACCAAAUAAGACAUCAGAAGACUACAAUGGACAGUCAGGACUGCUGAGAGGAUUACUGGUGCCCCCUGCUUAACCUUGAAAAAAUUUACUCCUCCAGAGUGAUGAAAAGAGCUCAAAAAAUCACUCAGGACCCCUCACACCGAGCCCACUCUCUCUUUGAACUGUUGCCCUCUGGCUAUCGCUACAGAGCACUGACCACCAAAAUAGCCAGGCACAAGAACAGUUUUUUCCCUCAGGCCAUAUUUCACCUGAACAACACAUAAAAUCUCAGGACAGCACAUCUGUACAUAACUUCUCAAAACUGUUCCUCUAUAAAUGGCACAUUUGUGUUGCACAUCACAUGUUAUUACUUUACAUGACAUGCAUGUCUGCACUAUGUCUGUACUUUUUCCUUGCACUGUAAGCUCCUGUCACCAAGACAAAUUCCUUGUGUGUGUAAACACACUUUACAAUAAAGUACUUUCUAAUUCUGAUUCUGAUUUUUAAAGUUAUACUUGAUUACUCUAUAAGAAAAAAAUAAUAAUAAUUCAAGUGUACAGUCGUGGCCAAAAGUUUUGAGAAUUACAUAAAUAUUAGUUUUCAAAAAGUUUGCUGCUAAACUGCUUUUAGAUCUUUGUUUCAGUUGUUUCUGUGAUGUACUGAAAUAUAAUUACAAGUGUAGCGCUCCCCUCAGUCUGGAUAUUGUUGAGGGCAGGGCUUUUGGGUUCUUUUAAGGUAUUUAUCAAAUGUGUUUUAACCCUGAUUAACUCAGUUUUAAAUGUUAUCUUGGAUCUCUCUUUUAUAGUAUACCCCUGAAAUGGUUUUAUAACCUACUUAUGAAUUCACCGUUCUUAAGUUAUAGUUAUAAUAAAGAUUUUUAACCAUGUGUCUGUAUAUUCCUCUCCUCGAACCAAAUGAUAACCUCUUUCCAGAUAAGUAAUAAAGUAACACAACACAAGGUUUUAGGAAAAUAUAUAUUAAUUAUUUACUCAAUAAAGAAAUUAUUAUCUCCAAUAAAAUAAGACAAUGAAAUAAGGAUAUGAUUGUUCUUUUUUAAACCUUCAACAUAAAAUGUCCCUCUUUUUAAAAGGAAGAUACUGUCAAAACUGUACUAUAUAUAAAUGCACAGACAACACUUUAAACCCUAUUAACCUUCAAUAGGAUUAAUUCAGAAAACCUCGAUGAAUCAACUUCAAAAUCACUUAAAACAACAUACUUUGUGGGCCCACACACACCUUAAUGCAAUCUAAAGCCGGCAAGUAAAAUUAUUAUAAAACUAAAUACCGUAGCAGGCCUGAUG